AUACGGAGGGUGCAAGCGUUACUCGGAAUCACUGGGCGUAAAGCGCGCGCAGGCGGCUUGGUAAGUUGGAUGUGAAAGCCUACGGCUCAACCGUAGAACUGCAUCCAAAACUGCCAAGCUAGAGUGUGGGAGAGGAAGAUGGAAUUAGUUGUGUAGGGGUAAAAUCCGUAGAGAUAACUAGGAAUACCAAAAGCGAAGGCAAUCUUCUGGAACACUACUGACGCUGAGGCGCGAAAGCGUGGGGAGCAAACAGGAUUAGAAACCCCAGUAGUCC
rnacentral:rRNA from 1 species